CCUUCAUCCAACAGGACUGGUGUCCUCAGAAGAAGAAGAGCUACCUGAGGAUGUGUCACACAGAAAAAAGGCCGUGAGAGGACACAACCAGAAGGUAGCUGCCUGCAAACCAGAGAAAGAGAUCUCACCAGAAACCAACCCUGCUGGCAGCAUGAUCUUGGACUUUCAGCUUCCAGAACUUGAAACUGCUAGUAAGUGGUAGAAGCAGAGGUUGGAGCCAGCUCUUUUGGAUCCAGGGAGCUCGUCACUAUACCACAUGUUAUUCUAAUACUUCAGAGGUUGGAAAACGAAUAUGGCCCUUUCGUUCAUGACCUCCUCCCAGGAGCAGAGCAGCAGAUAGUGGGGCCAAGAGUGGCCCAAGAACACCCACUGGGGACCUAAUGACGACCACAUUGCGCAAGUCCUGUUUAUCCUUCACUGUGGAAAUCACGUCAUCAUGGAGGCUUCAGAUUCUUUUGUGAUCGUGUAUUCUGGUGCAAGAACCCCUUCCUGGGAUACUGGGUAAAGGGUAGAAUUUCCUGAUGGGGGAUGUGAAACCAUGGUUAAAAUAAGAGAUGACAUUGAAGGAGCUUUCAUGAACACAAUCAAAAAAUUCUUGGAAUUCAAUAAUAAAAAUAUUUAUUAAUAUACUUAUUUUAGCAGAGUAGUCAGUAUUUAUUGAGAACUUAGUAUGUAGUAGACUGUUCUAUGUGCUUUAGACAUCUUAUAUCUUUUAAUUUUCAAGUGCAUGCAAUUUCCAGUCUGUGUGUUGCUAGAGUGAUGGCUGAAAGAGAUGGAAAAGGCAGCCCACAAAAAAGCCUCUGCCACUUCCAGAUUGAUUUUUCAUUGAAUUUGCAGUUGUUUGACUUAAUGCACCAAGCCAUCUGGUUUCUUGGGCAUCCUGUGGACACACAACUUGGCCAGGUCACUUUAGACCUCUCACUUUUUAUUUGAUCUUAUGAUGUAAAGCCUGUGAAUGACUCUCAGGGCUGCGUUUCCUCUGUAAGACACAUAGACCUAUUCAAAACAUAGCAGUAGUUUCUGUUUCUGUUCUCCAUUCCAUUUGGGGAACAAGAAGUGUAAACAAUAAAGGGAAUCGUAUUUUAGCUUACUAAUUCUCAGUGCAGUACUUUUGAUAUUAAUGGUUGAAGCGGUCUAGAUGUCGCUGUUGUCAUUGUAGCUCCAUUUUAAUUUUUGUUUUUAAGGGAGUAUCAAGGUUCACUUUAAGGGACCAAAAUAAUUGCUUUCUUAGAUAUAUCCUGAAGUUUCCUUUCUAAACCAUGAUUGAUAUAUCAGCUACAAAUGUUAAACCCCAAAUAUCUACUGUCUGUUUCCUCUGGAGGAAAGAAUUCUAUGAGGUUGAUAACCACUGUGUAAAGUACAUUACUAACCUGUCAAUAUGUCUAUGUUCUCUCUAGUACCCUGAGUGUUAGGGAAUGUGUCUUCCUUCCAUCAAAGUCACUCUAUACAGAGAUUACAUAUGAUAUGCUAGGGACUAGGGAUUCAGCGCUGUAUACAACAGAUGAUCGUCCCCUCAUGGAGGUGACAUUCUAGUGGGAGGAUAUGCAUUAUGGUUUUAUGGACAUGGAUCCCAUUCUUCUUAGUCUUCUGUCUCAUUCAGUUUUCCUCUUUGAUAAUAAGAUCUAUCUUCUCCAUGAAAAUUCCCCUGAAGACUUCAGAAAUAUUAUUGAUAAGACUCAUUUGGAAUAUAUACACUUGUAAUUUUGUAUUGUCAUCUACUUUUUUUAUACGCAAAUGUCUCUUCUCCAUAGCUAGACAUGAUCGUGUUUCUACUCAUAAAACUUCUGACAGUAAAUGUGUAUCUUUUUUCAUCCACCUAACAACCAGUUUUUCAGUUCUCUAGACACCAACUGAGCGUCCUACAAUUCAACUCAUUUCUGACACUAACUACUCAGAGUUAGCACAGAUCCCACAAGUCAAGAGCUCAGUCCCACAAGACUGUCUCACUUCAGAUGCCAGUUGCAAGUCCCAGGUUUCCAUCUGUACUUCUGACCAAUGGCUGUAAAUUCAUGGGGCUCUCACAACUCCCUCGUCAGGCUCGAUAAUUUGUUACAAAGGCUCACAAAACUCAUGAAAACAGUUAUUUACUAUUAUUACUUUAUUAUAAAGGAUACAACUCAGGAACAGCCAAACAGAAGAGGGCCAGGUGUAGGAGAAGCAGCGCAGAACUUGCAUGCCCUCUCGGGGCGUGCCACCCUCCCAGUACCUCAAUGUGUUCACAAACCUGGAAGCUCUUGGAACCCCAUUGUUUAAGGGUUUCUAUGGAACUUCCAUUCUGGAGGCAUGAUUGAUUGAAUCAUUGGCCAUAGGUGACUGAACUCAAUCUCUGGCCCCUUUUUCCUCCCAAAAGGUCUCGGGGGGGGGGGGGGGGUGGCCUAAAAGUCUCAACCCUCUAAUCACAUGGUUGGUUCCUCUGGCAACCAGCCGCCAUCCUAAAGCUAUCUAGGGGCCCUCCAAGAGUCACCUUAUUAGUGUAAACUCAGGAAUGCUUGAAAGGGGCUUUUUAUGAAUAACAAAAGAUACUUCUGUCACUGCUAUCACUCAGGAAAUUCCAAGGGUUUUAGAAAAUCUGUGUCAGGAACUGGGGAUGAAGAGCAAAUAUAUAGUUCUUAUUCUUACACUAGAUUUUUAAGUUUCUAAGGGGAGGGAUCACUACACACAUUGUUUUAUUACUUUUUAUUUUGCAAAUAUUUACAUACACAAAAACUAUAAAUAAAAGAAGAUAAACACAUGUACCCAUGACACAGCUUAAGAAAUAGAACAUUACCUGUGCAUUUGAAGUUCCCUGUGUUCUCCUGUCUGAUCAUGUCCCACUUCUUCCCUGCCUCUAGAGGGAGCCACUGGUGUUUACCUCCCAAGGUACUUCCAACACUUUAACUACAAUAGACCCUUAAGCACUAUAUAAUAAUAUUCUCUUGCAUGUUUUUAAAGUUUAUACAAAUAAUCUCAUACCAAUGUGUUUGUUCACUUGCCCUUUUCUCUCAACAUUUAUGUUCAUGAGAAUUCGCCACAUUGAUAAGUGUAGCUGUAGUUUAUUCCUUUUCUCUGCUAUAUAGUAUUUCAUUGUUUGAACACAACACAGUUUUUUCAUUCUCUUGUUUGUGAAUAUUUAGAUUUUUUUCUUAUUUUCUACUCUUCUAAGUCUUUAUAACCGUAAUGUCUUUUGGGUAAAAGGUAGUCAGUAAAUACACUGUAUGAUUUUUAUUCCAAAUUAUAAGUCAUCAUCUAUUACCUUCUUGUAUGGAGACGAGUUUAUCUCAUUUAGUUAACUAUGCUUUUCAGUUUCAAUAUGUCUUUCUUAGUGAAGUGUUAUAAUGCCAAACCCAGCAACUUUCCCCUACGUUUUCCAGUAAUCAAAUUCCAAGCUGAGAUCAUAAAUGGGAAGGGUGAGAGGUCGCGUAGAGGUGAAAUUUUCAGUCGUUAUAGUAAAUUAAAGGUCCAAAUAGAAUCUGAUUAAGGAUAAUGCUUACCUUGUAGUGAAACAUGGCUGCUGACUGCCCUUUCUGAGCACACAAACACUGCUCCUGAGCAGUCUCUCUACUACCUUCUGGACAGGUCUCAUUUAUAAAUUUGUAAGUGAACUGCAACUUUCAUGGCUCAUUUUCUGUAACGGAAACUUCCAGAAUUUCUUUAAAUGCAGCCAUCAGCUUAUGGCUUUUAUUAAUCAGUGCUCCAGAAGACAGGCGCCCCAUGGACACCAAAGGCCAAGGGAGACUGCUGCCACUCUGCUGUGCUGCGCUUUUGGAGGUCCCACCAAGAAGCCCAGUGGAUUCCCCUGCCUUAGUCUGGUAAUCCGCAUUGCUGGCGAAGUGCACCUCGUAAACAGCCUACGCCCAGUCAGCUUGACUCCCAGAGAACCCAUUAUACUCUUAUACCCUUGGGACUCACUGAGGAUCCCAAGGAGCUUUUGCUUAUAUGGUGUUUGUUUUACUCUGAUGCUUGCGUGGAGGUUCUGCUAUAAGCUACAGGAAAGAGUCUGUGUCUUUAACAAAGAAAUGGAGUUUCCGAGCCUCAAGGAACAGGACUGGAUUUCAGACUGUUGACAUGUCAAAGCUGCUCUUAUGUUCCCUAGAGCAGGAGUCAGCAAACUGUGUCCUGCUGGCCCUAAAUACCUACUGCCUGUUUUUGUAAAUAAAAUUUUAUUGAAACACAGUCAUGCCCAGUUAUUUAGUUUUUGUCUUUGGCUGAUUUUUUGCUAAAACAGCGAAGUUAAGUAGUUAGAGAGCAUCUGGCUUGCAAAUCUUAAAAUAUUUACUGUCUGGGAUUUUACAGAAAAAGUUUGCUCUCAGACUAUACCAGUGGAUGAACCUGGAUUUUUAUGACUGCUUUUAGCUGAAAAAUAGAUGGCUUCAUGAAAGUGAUAACCCAAGACCCAGCAGAUCACGAAUUAAUUAAACAAGUCUAAGUGAACUGAUGAGGAAAUUUUUAUUGUAGUAACUUUUGGGGGAUGUUGUUGUUUUAUUUUUCUGUUUUUUGGAUAGAUGAGGAAGUCCUAUCUUUUU
rnacentral:lncRNA from 1 species